AUUGAACGCUGGCGGAAUGCUUUACACAUGCAAGUCGAGCGGCAGCGCGGGGCAACCUGGCGGCGAGCGGCGAACGGGUGAGUAAUGCAUCGGAACAUGUCCAUGUCGUGGGGGAUAGCCCGGCGAAAGCCGGAUUAAUACCGCAUACGCUCGGGAGAGGAAAGCCGGGGACCGCAAGGCCUGGCGCGAUUGGGUUGGCCGAUGUCCGAUUAGCUAGUUGGUGCGGUAAAGGCUUACCAAGGCGAUGAUCGGUAGCUGGUCUGAGAGGAUGAUCAGCCACGCUCGGAGGGGGAAACGGCCCAGCCCCCUACGGGAUGCAGCAGUGGGGAAUUUUGGACAAUGGGGGCAACCCGGAUUCAGCCAUUCCGCGUGAGUGAAGAAGGCCUUCGGGUUGUAAAGCUCUUUUGUCCGGAGCGAAACGGGCGCGGCUAAUACCUGCGUCCACUGACGGUACCGGAAGAAUAAGCACCGGCUAACUACGUGCCAGCCGCCGCCGUAA
rnacentral:rRNA from 1 species